rnacentral:rRNA from 1 species
UACGUAGGGCGCAAGCGUUAUCCGGAAUUAUUGGGCGUAAAGAGCUCGUAGGCGGUUUGUCGCGUCUGCCGUGAAAGUCCGGGGCUCAACUCCGGAUCUGCGGUGGGUACGGGCAGACUAGAGUGAUGUAGGGGAGGCUGGAAUUCCUGGUGUAGCGGUGAAAUGCGCAGAUAUCAGGAGGAACACCGAUGGCGAAGGCAGCUCGCUGGGACGUUACUGACGCUGAGACGCGAAAGCGUGGGGAGCGAACAGG